rnacentral:rRNA from 1 species
CAGUCGCCGCGGGAAUACGAAGGGUGCAAGCGUUACUCGGAAUUACUGGGCGUAAAGCGUGCGUAGGUGGUGGUUUAAGUCCGUUGUGAAAGCCCUGGGCUCAACCUGGGAAUUGCAGUGGAUACUGGGUCACUAGAGUGUGGUAGAGGAUAGUGGAAUUUCCGGUGUAGCAGUGAAAUGCGUAGAGAUCGGGAGGAACAUCAGUGGCGAAGGCGGCCAUCUGGGACAACACUGACGCUGAGGCACGAAAGCGUGGGGAGCAAACAGGAUUAGAUACCCCAGUAGUCCCUGUCUCUUAUAA